UACGACUUUUGCUUCUUAUGUUCGCUACUUUCUCCCUCUGUUAUGUUUCAUGAAACCCUAAUAAAUGCCGUCCACAUGAAUACCCCAAAAUAUUGAAGACAACACAAUCUUUCAACGAAUACCUUUCUAAUAUCCGAUUCCACAAUUGAUCGCAGACUGAAACCCUAAAUGUCGUCCACAUGAAUACCCCAAAAUAUUGAAGGCAACACAAUCUUCCAAGGAGUACCUUUCUAAUAUCUGAUCCCACAAUUGAUCGCAGCAUUCCAGGUUUUGAUAGCUCCAAACGAUUCAAGGUUGCUCGAAUGAGAUUGACUAUUUAAUUCCUUUUAUGUUCCCAUGGCUUACAUCUGGCAUUUAUGUGAAUUAAAUUCACAAGUUUCCUCUAAUUCGAUGGUGAUGAAUGAUGUUUGUCAAACUGCACUUUAUGUGGCAAGAGACGAUGGAUAUAGUAAUGUUGUCCAUGCAAUUGAGAUUGAUUUCGAUAUCUCGAAGAACCGGCCAGAUCCUAUAACAUACGACGCUCAAGAGGACUGGUUGUCUAACUUAAUGACAAUUCUUACCGUUCGCUUCAAUAGAUGACCUGAUCCAACAGUUUGAAGACAUGGGUUCACACGGGACAAAGAUAAUCAUAUACAACUUAUGGCUCAAUGACGAAGGCCUUCUUCAUACCACCUUCUUCAUUCGUUAAGGGAAUACUCUUCUAUGUUGUACCUUAGAAAGUUCAACAACUUCAAAAUCAUCUUGAGGGGGAAGCCUGUAGAGCAGUAUACUAUAGCAUAUGGCUUAAGAAACCCGCAAGUAACCCUCUACAGGCCACACGUUUCAUCUUUGUAAGGGGAAGAUAGGUGCUUCUCUCCUACGGCAUACAAGAUUGGCGGCAGCCCGCCAUAUUUAACGUAUAAAAAAUAUAUAUGUUAAAUAUGGCGGGCUCCCACCAAUAACCUGUGUCUUGUAUGCCCUAUAGAGAGAAGCACUCAUCUUCCUUCUACAAAACAAAGAAAAAUUAUAAAAAACAUUAUCAUGAGAUUAACAAAGAAACAAAUCGUUGUAGUUAUUGUUACAAAUUUAUAAUGUUUAUUUUUUAUCAA